AUUGCACGCUUGCGGCAGGCCUAACACAUGCAAGUCGAGCGAGCGGCGGACGGGUGAGUAAUGCCUGGGAAUUGCCCAGUCGAGGGGGAUAACAGUUGGAAACGACUGCUCAUACCGCAUACGAUUGGAUUGCCCAGGUGGGAUUAGCUAGUUGGUGAGGGAAUGGCUCACCAAUGCGACGAUCCCUAACUGGUCUGUGAGGAUGAGCAGCCACACUGUAAAUGAGACAGGGUCAAGACUUCGACGGGAGGCAGCAGUGGGGAAUAUUGCACAAGGGGGGAAACCCUGAGGCAGCCAGGCCGCGUGUGUGAAGAAGGCCUUCGGGUUGUAAAGCACUGUCAGCGAGGAGGCGUUACUCGCAGAAGAAGCACCGGCUAACUCCGUGCCAGCCGCCGCGGUAAUUC
rnacentral:rRNA from 1 species